rnacentral:rRNA from 1 species
GACGAACGCUGGCGGCGUGCUUAACACAUGCAAGUCGAACGGAAAGGCCCUGCUUUUGUGGGGUGCUCGAGUGGCGAACGGGUGAGUAACACGUGAGUAACCUGCCCUUGACUUUGGGAUAACUUCAGGAAACUGGGGAUAAUACCGGAUAGGAGCUCCUGCUGCAUGGUGGGGGUUGGAAAGUUUCGGCGGUUGUGGAUGGACUCGCGGCUUAUCAGCUUGUUGGUGGGGUAGUGGCUUACCAAGGCUUUGACGGGUAGCCGGCCUGAGAGGGUGACCGGCCACAUUGGGACUAAGAUACGGCCCAGACGCCUACGGGAGGCAGCAGUGGGGAAUAUUGCACAAUGGGCGGAAGCCUGAUGCAGCAACGCCGCGUGCGGGAUGACGGCCUUCGGGUUGUAAACCGCUUUCGCCGGUGACGAAGCGUGAGUGACGGUAAUGGGUAAAGAAGCACCGGCUAACUACGUG